AGCUCCAAUAGCGUAUAUUAAAGUUGUUGCAGUUAAAAAGCUCGUAGUUGGAUUUGUGGUUGAGCUGUCCGGUCCGACACUUUUGUGUGGGUACUUGGACGGCUCGUCCAUCCUUGGGUGGAAUCUGUGUGGCAUUAGGUUGUCGUGCAGGGGAUGCCCAUCUUUUACUGUGAAAAAAUUAGAGUGUUCAAAGCAGGCUUAUGCCGUUGAAUAUAUUAGCAUGGAAUAAUGAGAUAGGACCUUGGUACUAUUUUGUUGGUUUGCGCACCGAGGUAAUGAUUAAUAGGGACAGUUGGGGGUAUUCGUAUUCCAUUGUCAGAGGUGAAAUUCUUGGAUUUUUGGAAGACGAACUACUGCGAAAGCAUUUACCAAGGAUGUUUUCAUUAAUCAAGAACGAAAG
rnacentral:rRNA from 1 species